rnacentral:rRNA from 1 species
UACGUAGGGUCCGAGCGUUGUCCGGAUUUAUUGGGCGUAAAGAGCUCGUAGGCGGCUCGGUAAGUCGGAUGUGAAAACUCGGGGCUCAACCCCGAGACGCCAUCCGAUACUGCUGUGGCUUGAGUCUGGUAGGGGAGAACGGAAUUCCUGGUGUAGCGGUGAAAUGCGCAGAUAUCAGGAGGAACACCGGUGGCGAAGGCGGUCUGCUGGGGUAAUGCUGACACUGAUGCGCGACAGCGGUGGGUAGCAAACAGG